rnacentral:lncRNA from 7 species
AGUUUCUCCAGAUAGAGAUGGCACUUCUCUUGAGCUGCUACUGGUCAUCAGAAACGAUUGGUACCAAAGUGGUGUGAGCUCAGCAGUGCAAGUCCUGCUGCAGAGAGCCAUCCCCAAGCCCUGCAGCUGCUCCAUAAAUAGGUUGGACAUUUGGUGUCGUAAUUCCAGCAGUGCUCAGCAUUGGCUCAGCUCUGCCUUAUUCAAAGUCAGCGGGAACUGCUGACUGUGAGCCAGCACGGCUCUUACAGCCUUUUUCUCUCACUAAUUACUUCUGGCUGCCGUGGAAGCCCCAAGGACUUCAAAGGGACGACACUGGAUUUGCACGAACUAUCUCUCUGGAUCUUCCAUCCCUGUUUCUCAGCCCUUGGUGGUCUAUAAGGCUUCAGAAGGGGACCCACUAAACAACUGCAGAAAACAUUAAAACUUAUUGCAUCGCUGGCACUUAGCCACUCUGUCCACAUCCCUCAAUGCCACAAACCCACAGUUCUGGAUCACCUCCACGGAUGGUGACUCCACCACCCUCCUGGGCAGCUGUGCCAGUGCUUGACCAAACCUUUUUGGGCCCCAGAUGAGCUUCUGCCCUGUACUCAGAGGAAGCAGGGUGGUGACAGCAUUGUGAUACGCAGUGGCCCCAUGAAUCCUCAUUGUAGAUAGUGGAGACUUUUUUUUUCGUUAGUAGUGCAUUUCUCACCUUCUCUGUGCCUCUUUGGGUGUAAAAUGGGUAUAAUUAACCCUUCCCCGUGUGGAGAUGCAUUAUGUGCAUCUUUUCAUAAGGCAGAGAAGUUUCAUAGCCAGUCAAUGAGCUGAUGGGACGGCUCCAGACAAAGCAAACAAAUGGCAGCAUCAGAUUUCAGACAGAUUCAAGAGGCUUCAGACAGACUUUUCUCCAGCUUACACCCACUGGAUGCUGGGUUUGCUCUAUUUGCUCCACUCCCAAUUUUCUCCCCUUUCAAUGAAUGGGAAAAAAACAACCUGAAUUUUCCACUAAGCCGUUAAGAAAGCAGAGGUUUCACAACAGUCAGGCUGAUCUGCCCACGCUCAUUUGAACAGGCUUUUAGGAACCUUUAGAGACUGGCAAUUCGGGUGGUAAACCCUCUUUAUGACCUGUUAUUACCCGUGCUCUGCUCAGAGGCAGCAGAACUCAUUACGGGCGUAAAUGGCCGGAGUGCUCCUGCAUACCAGCACAGGCUGCCUUUAAUGAUCUCCCUUUUCCUGCUUCUCCCUGAUAAAAAUACCUUACUGGUUAAAAAAAAAAAACCCAACAACCAGAGACCACAGAGCUAGCUGCCAGUUCGCCUCGUGGCUCCCGUUCCUGAGGUUUUAUUUUGCUGCACUUAGUUUUCAGGAAGUCGGCCAGUGUGGCACACUUUGUGUUUUUUUAUUUAACUGCGCAUUAAAUGUUCCCCUUUGCCCCAUGUUUUAUUAGGGAGACGUUAAAGAGAGCCUUGCAAAGCUGGAAACACGGAAGGAAAACAAACAGCCCCAGGACCAGCCCUGUUACAGCAGCCCACUUCUUCAGGCUUGAUGUAACUCUGUCCAUUACAGUUGGCAUAGGGCACGGGAAUAGCAGGCCUCCCUCCAGUAGGAAAUGAGGGAGAAACUAAGGCAGGAAGAGAUCCCAUUUUGUUAUCCCAGCUCCCAUACUCACAGCUGGUUGGGUGUCUGUGCAAGCUGAUCACAUCUGGUGAUGGAGAUCCUCAACAGCCACACACAACCUCUCCCUAUUGCAAAUUUACACUCAAAUAGAAGAUAUUUGGUAUCUCUACCAAGCAGAAUUCCCAAGGCCCAUGGACUCCCAGCCAGCUCUCUCAGCCAUGUUGUGUCACUCCAGAGAAGCUUGAGAACCUUACCCCCG